CCUGGAACUUGAGCCUGGAGGAGCUCCCUCAACAGCUUCCCUUAAUCGGUCAAAUUGGUCACGUGGGAGAUGGCUGCACUGAAGGGGUUUGCUGGGUGAAUGCCCGGAGCUGAAGGAAGAGGCUUGCGUUGGUGGAACCCUUGCUGAAGAUGCCACUAGGACUCCUGGCUUAAGAGACUACCAUGACUCCAUGUGGAGAUCAGGACUUGAGGGAGCCCUUGCCCAGUGGGUGAAGUGGAAGGGAAGGCGGUCUGGAUGGAUGGAAGGUCAGAAGAGGGACCCAGAGGCUGGGGAUCAGCACAUUGCCACUGGACGCAAAAGAGAUGUGCUUAAGGGAUGUGUACCAGAAAGUAGAACUGGAGGGAACCUGACCAAAUGCCCCUACUUCACCUUUUGUAAAUUAGAUAUUUGUGUUGGUAGAGCAAUCUGAUGAAGUUUUACUCUCUCAGGAUGAUUUCUUCUUACGAAGGUAAUACAGGAUUAACAAAGCCUGUCUUUUGGGAAUGGUGAAGCUAACGACAGAAAUAGAAAUAGUUCUGGACACUGAUGGGGGAAGGGAAAACUUGCUAGGCAUUUGCUGAAGUAAGAGAUUUAUCUGAGAUUUAAUCCAGAUUUAAUCUUGUUAUUGCCACUUAGAUGAGGUAUCGUGUCCCGUAACCAGAAGUUCAGUGUCAUGUCAGAUCUAAUUGAGGACAUCAAUGUGGCUAGAUUUCUCUUUCAUAACUUUAUCAUAACCUAUUACUGGCUGCAGGGAGAUCUGCACCCUUCCCAACCAGGGCACCAUCAGGGUUAGCUAGUAAAAGACUACAUUAACUAAUCUUGAAUGGAAACUGAAGUCCAAAUCCCAAAGGAAAUAAAUAAUAACUAACAUCCCAAAGCACAGGAACAAUGGUAAGAAGCUGUAAAAGGUUAAUUUAGGCUAAAGGUAAAGGGAAAUUCCCUAUAAGCAGUUGUUCAAAAGUGGAAUGCGCUUCCCUGUCUUCCCUGCGGGGCUUCCCCUCUUUGGGUACCUUGAAGAAGAGGCAAGGUAACCAAUAUUUAUUAAGCAUCUACAAUGUGUCAAAUGCUUGCUAAGCACGUUACAAAUGUUAUCUCAGUGAAUUCUUGCAACCACUCUGUGAUGUUCUCAUUUUAAGACUAAGAAAAUGGAGACAUUGAAAGGGUGUGACUUGCCCAGGGUCACUCACAUAGUAAGGCAUGGUCUGAGAAUAAAUUGUUUAAUUUAGGUCUCCCUGACUCCAGGGCCAUUUUUGUUGCAGAUGCCACUAUAUUAGAGUGAGACUCUUUUGUUAUAUGAGAGUUAGCCUAACUGACUACUAAAAUCCUUUUUAAUUUUCAAAUUCUGUGAAUCUAAUAAAAACAUGAUUUGUUUAAUAUAAAAAUAUAUUCUAUAAGCAAAUUUACUAUCUUGAUGAUUUUUUUAAGUCAAAAAUAAAGUUUAAAGGAGACAUGGCUUUAUGCUGCACUUUCUAUGACACUAAUCAAGCUUUAUUUUUAUUUUAUUUUAUUUUUAAACCCUUACCUUCCAUCUUGGAAUCAAUACCAUGUAUUGGUUUCAAGACAGAAGAGUGGUUAGGCAAUGGGGGUCAAGUGACUUGCCCAGGGUUACACAGCUGGGAAGUGCCUGAGGUCACAUUUGAACCUAGGACCUCCUGUCUCUAGAACUGGCUUUCAAUCUAUUGAGCCACCCAGCUGCCCCCUCAAGCUUUAUUCACAACACAACCAAAUCCUAUCUUUUAACACUGGGCCCUUUACUGACAAACAACUGUAGCUUAUAAGCCCAGCCUAUAAUAUAUUCAUUUCCCUAAACUAAGAAUCAUCAGAAAUUCAUGUAAAUGAUCAUGAAUGGAAGAACUAGGCAUGACCAAAAGAUCAUCUGAUUCCCUGUCUAGAUUUCGAGACUGUGCUUUCUCCAAAUGCCCAUAGAACACAGAAUGCAGCUGGUCUGGAUCAGUGACUUGGUUCAUAGAAAAGCAUCACUAAGGGGGACAUAAAGAGAGACCUUGAGACUUUGACCUCAUCAUUGCUUCUUAAACUACUUGACCCUCCCUCCACCCUCGCUCCCAUCCUUCAUCCUGCCUUCAUUCUUUCCUUCUUCCCUCUUUCCUUUCUACUUUCCUUCCUUCCUUUUUCCCUCCCUCCCUUCCUUCCUCCCUUUUGCAAAUGACAAAUUUUAAAUAGGUCAAUUAAACUUACAUUUAUAACCAAUUAAACAUUUAAAAGCUAAAGCAACUAGGAGGUGCAGUAGAGAGCCAGGCCUGAAGUCAAAAGUAUUAUUAGUUGUAUGACCCUGGGCAAGUCACUCAAACCUUUUGCCUCAGUUUCCUCAUCUAUAUAACUUUUAGAUUCAUUCAAUAACUAAAAAGAGUGGAAAUGAAACUAAAGAAAAUAUCAGUGGAAAAAACAUCCUGGCUUGAUAGAAACACUUCUAAUGAAGGGCUGUCUUUAGUAAAUAUAUUAUAAUAGCUAGAAUGGUUAUCUUAGAGAUCAUCUAGCCCCAAAGCUUCAUUUUACAGGUUAGUAAAUUAAAGCCCCAAAGAGGUAAAAUGACAGUGUAAUUUCACACACUGAAUAUUUUUUAAGAUUUAUUGUUGCUUCCUAUUUGUUUAUACCAGUCAUUUCCCCAUAAUCCCCCUAACCAAAUCCUCCCUUGAAAUAGAAAAAGAAAUCUUAACAAAAGUAGCAGACACACAGGAAGUGUCUAAUAAUAUAUCUCACAUUUCACAAACACUGUCUCUUACCUCUCUACUGAGAAAUGUUUCAUCAUCACCUCUCCGUGACCAAGAUCAGUCAUUCAAUUUAAUCAGUUUGAUUGUCUUCUAUUGUUGUUUUGAUUUAUAUUAUUACAACAAUUGCCAGUCAACAAGUAGCUAGACUAGGAUUGGAAGAAGCUCUUCAAUACCCAUAUCUAAUGUUUACUACGAGAAUCUAUAAAAAGAUGCUUUUAUAGUGAUUGAAAAUAGUUUAUUCUCUUAGAUUAAACACUUCCUCUAAAAUUUUGCGGAUAUUCUCUAAGUCCUUUCUUCAUAUGAAAUACAAGAAUCAGAUUUAGCCUAGCUGUGAGAUUUUAAAUUACAGUUUAAGACCUCAACCAUUUUAAAUCUCACAUAGCCCUGACCAAAUUGUUAAAUUCUGAACGUCAACUAAAUGUGUGAGGUUUUAUUGUAUUUAAUUUCAUAUAAAAAGAGUUAGGUGGGGCAGUCAAGGCCUAAAGUCAUGAAGAUUCAUCUUUAUGAGUUCAAAUCUGGACUAAUGCUUUUAUUAGCGGUUUGAUCCUAGGCAAGUCACCUAACUUUAUUUACCCUGAUUUUCUCUCCAUAAAAUGAUCUGGAGAAGAAAAUGGCAAAUCAUCACAGGAUCUUUGCUAAAAUAAUCCCAAAUGGAGUCACAAAAAGUUUGACAAAAUUGAAAAACUACCGAACAACAAAUCCUUCAUUUCCUUUCCCCCUUCCCUUUUCGGGAACUAGGGGGUGAGGUGGAUAGGGAACCAGGCCUGGAGUCAGGAAGAAUGUUCUUCCUGAGUUCAAAAUUGAACCCAGAUUCUUAUUAACUAUGGGACCCUAGGCAAGUCACUUAAUUUUGUUUCCUCAUCUGUAAAAUGAACUACAGAAGGAAAUGGCAAACCACUAAUCUCUGCCAAAAAAACAAAAAAAAUAACAAAAAACCCAAAUGGAGUCACAAAGACACAUCUGAACAACAACAAGAAAACAUAGAACAUUCAUCUGAUUUUCAACAUGGAAUUUGCAGAGCAUUGUGGGGUGUGGAUACUUACUUCGGACUU